rnacentral:rRNA from 1 species
UGGGGAAUCUUCCGCAAUGGACGAAAGUCUGACGGAGCAACGCCGCGUGAGUGAAGACGGCCUUCGGGUUGUAAAGCUCUGUGAUCCGGGACGAAAGAGCCUGAGGUGAAUAGCCUAAGGAAGUGACGGUACCGGAAAAGCAAGCCACGGCUAACUACGUGCCAGCAGCCGCGGUAAUACGUAGGUGGCAAGCGUUGUCCGGAAUUAUUGGGCGUAAAGCGCGCGCAGGCGGCUUCCUAAGUCCAUCUUAAAAGUGCGGGGCUUAACCCCGUGAUAGGAUGGAAACUGGGAAGCUGGAGUAUCGGAGAGGAAAGUGGAAUUCCUAGUGUAGCGGUGAAAUGCGUAGAGAUUAGGAAGAACACCGGUGGCGAAGGCGACUUUCUGGACGAAAACUGACGCUGAGGCGCGAAAGCGUGGGGAGCAAACAGG